GUUUUUGUGGCUUUUCAAACACUCUGCUCCACCUGAAAUACUGAUUCCCGUCAACAGCAUAGAAGAACUGUCAUUCUCUUUACAAGCACAGAUGGCCCAUGUUUGCCCACCUCUCUCUGUGCCGCAGGACAGCAGCAAGUGUGAAACAGUAUUGAAAUGUUGUUCUCACUGAGAUUUCUAUUUCAAACACAGCUGUGACUGGGUGCUCACUGAUAGCUCAUUAUCUUAGUGUAAAAGAAAAAACUAUGGGCCCUGAUUUCUGCCCUGCAAUUUUCCUCUGGUCAAAACUUUUAGGGAGUAUAUUGGUUCAAAGUAUUAAUAAGAGUGGGAUAACGUAAAAAUAGCUAUACAGACACCUUCCUUGCAUUUCACGUCAAGGCAAGCCUCCCACAUCUGAGAAGAGUAUAUGCCCUAGAGUGCAGCUGCGUGAUGAUACACUCCCUGGAUGUACAGUUAUCACAAAAGGAAUUACGAGAGAAACAAUGACUUAGAUGAGCACAGUAGAAAAUGCAAGCAGGAAACCUUUGAGAUGGCCAUUAGAGAAUUUGGCAAGGAGCUGCUUCACGAGCACUAAGGAGUCUUUCACACAAGAUGUCCCUACUUGUGGAAGUCAUUAAAUCUAUGAAAUGUAAACCUUAAAAAUGAAAGAACGAAGUGUCAGACCAGAAGAUCCUAAAGCAAUGGGCAAGGAAUUUGUUCAGGAACAAGGAAACGCAGCACCCGAGAAACAAAUGUGAUUCAGCGUGUUGGAGGCAUCAUGUUCCCCAGAUCUGAUCUGUUCCUGAUUUCACUGAAAUUAAAGGCUGUGUUGUGUUUGGUUUCUGUCACAGGGGAGUUGGGCUCACAGGAGCUGAGCAGAUGCCCUGGUGAUACGCUAGUUAAGCUG
ensembl:lncRNA